GACGAACGCUGGCGGCGUGCUUAACACAUGCAAGUCGAACGGAAAGGCCCUGCUUUUGCGGGGUGCUCGAGUGGCGAACGGGUGAGUAACACGUGAGUAACCUGCCCUUGACUUUGGGAUAACUUCAGGAAACUGGGGCUAAUACCGGAUAGGAGCUCCUGCUGCAUGGUGGGGGUUGGAAAGUUUCGGCGGUUGGGGAUGGACUCGCGGCUUAUCAGCUUGUUGGUGGGGUAGUGGCUUACCAAGGCUUCGACGGGUAGCCGGCCUGAGAGGGUGACCGGCCACAAUGGGACUGAGAUACGGCCCAGACUCCUACGGGAGGCAGCAGUGGGGAAUAUUGCACAAUGGGCGGAAGCCUGAUGCAGCAACGCCGCGUGCGGGAUGACGGCCUUCGGGUUGUAAACCGCUUUCGCCUGUGACGAAGCGUGAGUGACGGUAAUGGGUAAAGAAGCACCGGCUAACUACGUG
rnacentral:rRNA from 1 species